AUUGAACGCUGGCGGCAGACCUAACACAUGCAAGUCGAACGAGCGGCGGACGGGUGAGUAAUGUAUGGGAAUCUGCCCGAUGGAGGGGGAUAACUACUGGAAACGGUAGCUAAUACCGCAUACCAUCAGAUGUGCCCAGAUGGGAUUAGCUAGUAGGUGGGGUAAAGGCUCACCAAGGCGACGAUCCCUAGCUGGUCUGAGAGGAUGACCAGCCACACUGGGACUGAGACACGGGCCAGACUCCUACGGGAGGCAGCAGUGGGGAAUAUUGCACAAUGGGCGCAAGCCUGAUACAGCCAUGCCGCGUGUAUGAAGAAGGCCUUCGGGUUGUAAAGUACUUUCAGCGGGGAGGCGUUACCCGCAGAAGAAGCACCGGCUAACUCCGUGCCAGCCGCCGCGGUAAUAC
rnacentral:rRNA from 1 species